ACACAUGCAGUCGAACGGACCCUUCGGGGUUAGUGGCGGACGGGUGAGUAACACGUGGGAACGUGCCUUUAGGUUCGGAAUAGCUCCUGGAAACGGGUGGUAAUGCCGAAUGUGCCCUUCGGGGGAAAGAUUUAUCGCCUUUAGAGCGGCCCGCGUCUGAUUAGCUAGUUGGUGAGGUAAUGGCUCACCAAGGCGACGAUCAGUAGCUGGUCUGAGAGGAUGACCAGCCACAUUGGGACUGAGACACGGCCCAAACUCCUACGGGAGGCAGCAGUGGGGAAUCUUGCGCAAUGGGCGAAAGCCUGACGCAGCCAUGCCGCGUGAAUGAUGAAGGUCUUAGGAUUGUAAAAUUCUUUCACCGGGGACGAUAAUGACGGUACCCGGAGAAGAAGCCCCGGCUAACUUCGUGCCAGCAGCCGCGGUAAUACGAAGGGGGCUAGCGUUGCUCGGAAUUACUGGGCGUAAAGGGCGCGUAGGCGGACAUUUAAGUCAGGGGUGAAAUCCCAGAGCUCAACUCUGGAACUGCCUUUGAUACUGGGUGUCUUGAGUGUGAGAGAGGUAUGUGGAACUCCGAGUGUAGAGGUGAAAUUCGUAGAUAUUCGGAAGAACACCAGUGGCGAAGGCGACAUACUGGCUCAUUACUGACGCUGAGGCGCGAAAGCGUGGGGAGCAAACAGGAUUAGAUACCCUGGUAGUCCACGCCGUAAACGAUGAUUGCUAGUUGUCGGGCUGCAUGCAGUUCGGUGACGCAGCU
rnacentral:rRNA from 1 species